rnacentral:lncRNA from 1 species
UGAUAAUAUUAUUUUGUCUUAUUUUGGUGGAUGUUAUGAGCACAAAACAGAUGUAAGUUUUGUAAUUAGAGUAGGUUGAAAUUUAAACAAGUAAUACGGAAAAUGACAAAAGAUCAAUGCUAUAUUACAAAUAGUCUGAAAUCUAUUGACAUAUACACAUGAAAAAAAGUAUUGCAACACCAAAUUGAAAUUCAAAUUAAGAAAAUACUUUUAAUUUUUUUGUGACAUAAUGUGUUGAAAUAGAACUAGUUAAACAUUAUUUAAAUAUCACCUGAGUUUAAUCAAUAAAAAUCGACUCGAUAAGUUCUUAUCUGCACUUGCAGCCACUGUAGUCGUUAACAAUAAGACAGAUGAUUUUAUCCUCAUUGUUUUCAACACUUCAAAUAACCAAGUUUAUAAAGUUAUGUGAUUGACACCUUGUAAUUGGUCACCAACAACUCAUAACUGCAACAAGAUGGCAGAUAAUCAGCAUAAAAGAACAGGUAUGUCGCUGUGACAAUUGUACAUAGUGUUGGCCAUUACCAUUCCACUAUUAGUCGUUUUAAGAAAAAUUUAGGCAACAAACGAUGUUAAAGACCUUCCGAAAUCGAGAAGACCCCCUAUUACAUCUGCUAGGGAAAAUCAAGCACAAUGCAGGUUGGUCAGAAGGAAAGUGAUGACCAUACAGGAGCCUUUUAGCAAGAACUGUUCGAGAUCGGCUCUUCGCUACUGGUAAUCUUGCGAUUAGACCAUUUUGGGGACCUUUAGACGCACAGUUAUCCAAUACAGUGCAGAGCUCACCAAAGUUGGAAAUUAGCAUCGUGGAGGGAGAUUCAUUGUUCUAAUGUAAUUCGUUGUAUCUUCCUUGGCCCGAUCGUAGCCUGAAUUUAAACCACAUCGAGCAUACAUGGGACACUAUUUGGUGUAAAGUGCAAGAAAGGACAACUCAGUUCCAACACGUCAUGAAAUAAAAAUACCCUUCGCCAGGAAUGGUUGCUGCUACCUUAGCAACAAAUUAGUCGACUUAUGGCUGGAAUCAGAAGACGUUAAGAUGCGGUUAUCCGUUUGAAGGGAGGCUGCACACAAAGUACUAAUUUGUUGGUGGUUAACGUUCAACCAUGACGUGAACAAUCAUUUAAAUAUCAAUUGUGAAAUGUCUGACAUGAUAACGUUUGAAUACAGUAAAAUUGGUAAAAUGCAUUUUUUUCUACAAAAAAACACUUCAGUUUGUUAUAAAAAUUUUGGUUACUCUGAUAAAACAUUUUAUUUUCAUACAUGUUUUGUUCUUUUUAAUGCCAAUGUUAUCAUUUACUACUUCCGGAGCACCUGAGAUCACUCCUAGUUUUUUGGUGGGGUUCGUGUUGUUUAUUCUUUAGUUUUCUAUGUUGUGUCGUGUGUGCUUUGUUUGUUUGUCUUUUUCAUUUUUAGCCAUGGCGUUGUCAGUUUGUUUUAGAUUUAUGAGUUUGACUGUCUCUUUGGUAUCUUUCGUCCCUCUUUUACUACGUUUUAAUAUUAUUUUACAAAUAUUUUACCAUAUUCCAUCCCAAAUAAGAGGUUGAUUUUUUGAAAGUUUUGAAAAAUAAAGGCGCUGCAAUACUUUUUUCCAUGUGUAUUUAUAAAGAUAUAUAUUUCAUUCAGUGCACACAGACAAUUUUCUCAUUUUGUGUAAUCUCCUUUUCAAACAUCAUGAAAUUAAAAUGACUGCGUUCGCAAAUUGUAAUGACGUUGUCAAAAUCGUCACCGUUGUCGGAAAACAUUUGAUUUCUAGGCGAUAAUUUGAGUUUAAUGAAUGGAUAUCUAUGAAAUUGUAUCACAAGAUUCCAUAUCAUACAAAAAGAUGGUUGGGAUGGAUGUUGGAAGUUAUUGCUCUAGCUGUUUAUGAAGAAGGGACAAUAAGGGGCGAAAUCAAGAAUUUUUCUUGCUUCAGUACAAUAACUUGUGUAUGAAAUUUUCCCAUAACAGUUACCAUUUAGUUAUAUGGUGCAAAAUAAAGACAACAGUUGUAUACCUCUGUUUAAAAGUCCUAAAUCGAUUGAGAGAAAGCAAGUCUGGUUUACAAAAUAACACCGAGGGACACACAUCAACUAUUAGAGGAAAACAAAUAAACAACAGAAACACUGAAGUGCAACAAAAAUUCUAAUAUGUCGACCUGUUAUCGUCAACCAGUAUAAUCACCAUUUAUCUCUAUUCAACAGCAAAAUGAACAAAUCAAUCAAUUAUGUUUCAUGGUAAAAUUUCAUAGAACGAAAAUUCCGCGAAAUUAUUUAAUUGUCUUGGCAUGGUAACGAAACAAGGUGACGUCACAAUUAUGUUUCCGUAAACAAAAAAAAAUAAAUGUAAAUUCCGGGCGUUUUUAAGCUUUUUGUACGCCUCAGAAUGAAUGAAAUUACAUUAAUUUUGGAAGAAAAUAUAUCAGUGAAAAAUGUGAUUAUAGAAAAAUAAUUAUUGAAUUAUAUAACAUUACUAAUAUUAUCCAAAUUGGAUGAAACGGAACAGCCAAAACAGUAUCGUAUGUAUAGGGCUUCCACGGUUAAAAUUACCGAAUUUGUCCUAUUAGAAUCGAAAUAAUUUAUUGCAGUAGUAGAUUUGUUUUCAUUUAACCAUAGGUAGGACAUUUAUAUUCGUAUUUUACACAGAGCGCAGGGUAAAAUAGUCGAACACAAAUGCCCACCAUGGUUAAAUGAAAACAAAUCUACAGCUGCCAGGAAUCAUUUCUUAAACAAACGACAUGCAGAAUUCAUAGAAACGAACCAUGCUUUUUUUACCACUUGUAUUUUGACGAAUAAUAUUUGAAUUGCAACAAUUUAUGUUUGUUUUAGACAUGUACAGAUAAGAUUUUAUUUAAAACCAGAAUGUAUAUUGGUUGGUUCCUAGCAUUUUUGUUGCUGCAGGUAAUCAUUGAGGUAAGCGUACAGUAAUAUAACAAGUAUAAUUAAAGGUAAUUAGCACUUUGUUUUAGUAAUCAUAAUUAUCGAAUUACUGAUCUUAAUUUUAAAAUAUUCUGCUUCCCUUUGUUGCUAGAUAUUUUUUCUGCAGGAAUAUAGAAACAAGCACUAGAAACUGGACUUUAUCAGAGCUCUUAGACGUUAGAAGAACAUUAUUUAACGAACAGUGAAGUUAUUUUUUCUUGGUUUUUGGUUUGACGGGAUUGAGGCAGUGUACACUUUUAGAAAGGCGAUGCAUUCGUAAAAAAAUAUAAAAUUAAUUAUUCUAUAAUAAAAUUCUAGUAUUCAAAAUAUACUUAUAUCAUUUAACAUAUGCACAUGAUUUUAAGGUUUAUACACAGUUUUAAUUUAGGUACAAACAGACAUGGUUAGAAAAAUAAAAAAAAAAACAGUAAUUACACUUUUUCAUGGUUAAAAGAAGUACCUAAAUUAACAAAACUCAAUCUUUAUUUGAUAUUCUUGUACGUGACUAUAAAAUGUACAAAUCUAUUUUCUUUUAAAUUAUCUGUGAUAAUAUAAACGUCACAUAAAAUUCACCACUUUUUGUGACCCUCAGUUUAUAUUUAAAUUUAUGUUAGAUGUUCGUUUUAUUCAGCGGUUAACAUUAGUGAUAAAUUCUUUAAAUUAGCAGUAUUUUCGUUUUUAUCUGUGUUAGGUGUUUAUAGAUAUAGGAAGAUGUGGUAUGAGUGCCAAUGAGACAACUCUCCAUCAAAGUAACAAUUUAUAAAAGUAAACCAUUAUUGGCCAAGGUACGGCCUUCAACACGGAGCCUUAGAACACACCGAACAGCGUGUAUGUGUACUGUAUGCUUAUGUGUAUUCUAAGGUAUUAAAAAGGUGUUUUAAAACUUGUCAUAUACGCUCGAGGUUUUGCUAGAACAAAGACCAGGUUCGAUUCAACAUUUUAUUUUAGGAAAAUGUCUUGUACCUAAUCAGAAAUAUGGCAGUUGUAUUACACAGUACAUUUUUUGUAUGUUUGUGUUUGUUUUUGUUGUAGUUCAGUGCUUCUGUUGUUUUCCCUUACAGUUGAUAUGUUUUUCUCGGGAAUCGUUUGUUACCUGGAUUUAUUUCUUCUCAAACGAAUCAUGAAGUCGGAACAGAGUUAUACUACUGUUGACUUUAUUAAAUAAGGCAGAAGAAAUUACUACCUUCAAAAAGUAUUUUUUUUUUGUUUGUAUUCAUCAUGCAUAAAGCUACCAAUUUGAUGUUUGUGAUAGAUUUUAGGUUUGAUAUUUGCGAACAAAGAAUAUUCAUUCAUAUCUUCACUGAAAAAAGUGGACACCAAGACGGAAAAUGAAACAACUG